rnacentral:lncRNA from 1 species
GGGCAUAGGACAUUUGAGCGAAAAAGAAAAAAGCACAUAGGGUCAUUUGAGCGCCGACUUCAUAGGACAUUUGAGCGCCGGGAUAUUAACCUUACCUGAGUUUUCAGACAGGACAUUUGAGCGAAAUUUUCCCUGAUAAUUUUACACGAAUUAAGAUUUUUUUUUAAAAGUAAGAAAAAAAAAGUAAGAUUUAGUUAUAAAUAUUUUUUAUUUUAUUUCACACCCGAGUAAUUCGACCGGUUCUGGCUGGUUUAUGUAAGUGAAAUCCUAAGUUGAUCUCUAUUUACCAAUCAAUUCUACUAUAAUUCAUUGGCUAUGCAAAUUUUCUUUGUUCU